GAUGAACGCUGGCGGCGUGCUUAACACAUGCAAGUCGAGCGAGUGAGUUCUUCGGAACGAUCUAGCGGCGGACGGGUGAGUAACACGUGGGCAACCUGCCUCAUAGAGGGGAAUAGCCUCCCGAAAGGGAGAUUAAUACCGCAUAAAAUUAUCGAGUGGCAUCACACGAUAAUCAAAGGAGUAAUCCGCUAUGAGAUGGGCCCGCGGCGCAUUAGCUAGUUGGUGAGGUAACGGCUCACCAAGGCGACGAUGCGUAGCCGACCUGAGAGGGUGAGCGGCCACAUGGGGACGGAGACACGGCCCAGACUCCUACGGGAGGCAGCAGUGGGGAAUAUUGCACAAGGGGGGAAACCCUGAUGCAGCAACGCCGCGUGAGUGAUGAAGGUCUUCGGAUUGUAAAGCUCUGUCUUUGGGGACGAUAAUGACGGUACCCAAGGAGGAAGCCACGGCUAACUACGUGCCAGCAGCCGCCGUAA
rnacentral:rRNA from 1 species